AGCAGGAGCUAUUGGUGUUCUUGCUGUUUCCUGGUAUCCACCUGGCAUGAAGGAUGAAAACGGUGAGCCAACAGAUGACAUUGUGCCUUUGAUACUGGAGGUGGCACAUGCAUAUCAUGUAAAGGUUGCUUUUCACAUUGAACCAUACAAAGGAAGAGAUGAAACAAGUAUGUUUAACAAUGUCAAGUACAUCAUAGAGAAGUAAGUAUUACAUCAUUCCUUAUUUUAUAUU